ACGGGUGAGUAACACGUAUCCAACCUGCCGUCUACUCUUGGCCAGCCUUCUGAAAGGAAGAUUAAUCCAGGAUGGCAUCAUGAGUUCACAUGUCCGCAUGAUUAAAGGAUUUUCCGGUAGACGAUGGGGAUGCGUUCCAUUAGAUAGUAGGCGGGGUAACGGCCCACCUAGUCAACGAUGGAUAGGGGUUCUGAGAGGAAGGUCCCCCACAUUGGAACUGAGACACGGUCCAA
rnacentral:rRNA from 1 species